AAGACUUAUGGAUAACUUCAAGCAUAAAUCUGUUAUCCAGAACUAAGAUUAAAUAAUUGGAAUCUAAUGGAACUACAGUGUGACAGGCUUUUGUUCCAGAAAAGAUGGAGUAAGCGCAUCCCAUUCUACGCCUCCUGCUAACAACAAUGACAAAUAACAAAAUAUAUAAGUCAUUCACCAGAAGACUUGAAAAGUGGCAAAAAGAAAGGAGAAGCAGCUAGAAAACUUGGGACUGAGGAGUGACCUGGCAGAGUUCGACCGCUUGCUAUGAUGUGCGCUGACCACCAGGGGGCGGCGAAGAAGGAAGGAAGGAAGGCCACGGCUGGCAGCCGGCAGCCAGGGGAAGAAAGGCCCAGAUCGGCCCUGAUCGCCGACCAGGCCUAGGGACCCUACCCGUGCACAAAUUUCAUGCACCGGGCCUCUAGUUAUAACAA